GACGAACGCUGGCGGCGUGCUUAACACAUGCAAGUCGAACGGAAAGGCCCUGCUUUUGUGGGGUGCUCGAGUGGCGAACGGGUGAGUAACACGUGAGUAACCUGCCCUUGACUUUGGGAUAACUUCAGGAAACUGGGGCUAAUACCGGAUAGGAGCUCCUGCUGCAUGGUGGGGGUUGGAAAGUUUCGGCGGUUGGGGAUGGACUCGCGGCUUAUCAGCUUGUUGGUGGGGUAGUGGCUUACGAAGGCUUUGACGGGUAGCCGGCCUGAGAGGGUGACCGGCCACAUUGGGACUGAGAUACGGCCCAGACUCCUACGGGAGGCAGCGGUGGGGAAUAUUGCGCAAUGGGCGGAAGCCUGAUGCAGCAACGCCGCGUGCGGGAUGACGGCCUUCGGGUUGUAAACCGCUUUCGCCUGUGACGAAGCGUGAGUGACGGUAAUGGGUAAAGAAGCACCGGCUAACUACGUG
rnacentral:rRNA from 1 species